AAAAGCGCCUUUUAUGUGAGAAAGGGAGAAUAGUUGCCUGACAAGCCGAGUGACGCACAGAGAAGUGAUGCUUAUUCAUGAAUGCACUGGAGAAGCUCUUCGUCUCACAGCAACGCAUGCCUUUGAUAGAUGCUGUCGACAACUUACUGAGCAUGCGCAGUGGCGGACAGCACUGAAGCCGUAAUUAUUUUGUUAAUUGGCAAAACAGUUUUAAGGUCCAGCUCUCUGAGAGAAAAGGUGACCGGCUAAAUCCUCAGAAGCCUGUCAGAUGUUAUUGGGGGAAAACAGGACAAGGACACUUCACUUUAAUGAGGCAUAGGAAAUGGCUUCAUUCCCAACAACAAGGAUUUUUCCCAUUGUUGAAAAUGCUUUUAAAGCAUCCAAGAAGCACAAAAACAAGAAAGUGAAGAAGGAAAAAAAGGAUAAGAGGAAAACCAAGUGUGUGCCAAACUUCUUCUUGCAUGAUGGCUGCUGUGAGACAGAGUUGACACAAACGCAAAACACCAAG